UACGGGGGGGGCAAGCGUUGUUCGGAAUUACUGGGCGUAAAGGGCUCGUAGGCGGCCAACUAAGUCAGACGUGAAAUCCCUCGGCUUAACCGGGGAACUGCGUCUGAUACUGGAUGGCUAGAGAUUGGGAGAGGGAUGCGGAAUUCCAGGUGUAGCGGUGAAAUGCGUAGAUAUCUGGAGGAACACCGGUGGCGAAGGCGGCAUCCUGGACCAACACGUGACGCUGAGGAGCGAAAGCCAGGGGAGCAAACGGG
rnacentral:rRNA from 1 species